CACCAUUAUACCGUCUUACAUAACCGCUAAAGAAACCUGAACAGCACUGCCUCAAAGAUCUUAUUCCCUCUGACACCAUGAAGCAAAGCAUCUUUGCCAUUAGUGCCUUGUUUUUACUCGUCACUUUGUCUACUUUCCAACAAUCUCUGUCUAUGUCUUCGGGUGCGGGAAAUUGGGCGACACGAGAAUACAAAGAGGCAAAGAGAGCGAUUGGAACGAUGUGUAAAGUGGCACGAGAGCACUGCAAAAGACACUUCGAUGAAGAACAGAAGAGCCGCUUUCUGCAGAAGUGAAGAAAUGACGCCGUUGAAGAACCAGCUACCGGACAGUAUGAUGAAAUAUAGCCGAUGAUCAAAAUAAAAAAUAUGGGAAUGCUAGCUGUGUUAUUAUAAAAACAGUACUCUUCCAAACACUGUAGUUUGCAUUAAAUGUACUCACACCAAAUAUAAUAUACAUGGGUUAAUCUCAAAUUAAAUAAAUCU